UGAGGAAUAUUGGUCAAUGGACGCAAGUCUGAACCAGCCAAGUAGCGUGCAGGAUGACGGCCCUAUGGGUUGUAAACUGCUUUUAUAUGGGGAUAAAGUGGGGAACGUGUUCCCUUUUGCAGGUACCAUAUGAAUAAGGACCGGCUAAUUCCGUGCCAGCAGCCGCGGUAAUACGGAAGGUUCGGGCGUUAUCCGGAUUUAUUGGGUUUAAAGGGAGCGUAGGCCGUUUGGUAAGCGUGUUGUGAAAUGUAGGAGCUCAACUUCUAGAUUGCAGCGCGAACUGGAAGACUUGAGUCCGCACAACGUAGGCGGAAUUCAUGGUGUAGCGGUGAAAUGCUUAGAUAUCAUGAAGAAGUCCGAUUGCGAAGGCAGCUUACGGGAGCGCAACUGACGCUGAAGCUCGAAGGUGCGGGUAUCGAACAGG
rnacentral:rRNA from 1 species